rnacentral:rRNA from 2 species
CAGUGGGGAAUAUUGGACAAUGGGCGCAAGCCUGAUCCAGCCAUGCCGCGUGAGUGAUGAAGGCCCUAGGGUUGUAAAGCUCUUUCACCGGUGAAGAUAAUGACGGUAACCGGAGAAGAAGCCCCGGCUAACUUCGUGCCAGCAGCCGCGGUAAUACGAAGGGGGCUAGCGUUGUUCGGAUUUACUGGGCGUAAAGCGCACGUAGGCGGACUUUUAAGUCAGGGGUGAAAUCCCGGGGCUCAACCCCGGAACUGCCUUUGAUACUGGAAGUCUUGAGUAUGGAAGAGGUAAGUGGAAUUGCGAGUGUAGAGGUGAAAUUCGUAGAUAUUCGCAGGAACACCAGUGGCGAAGGCGGCUUAC